AGCGAACGCUGGCGGCAGGCUUAACACAUGCAAGUCGAGCGGGCACUUUCGGGUGUCAGCGGCGGACGGGUGAGUAACGCGGGGGAACGUGCCCUCUGGUUCGGAAUAACUCAGGGAAACUUGAGCUAAUACCGGAUACGCCCUUUUGGGGAAAGGCUUGCUGCCGGAGGAUCGGCCCGCGUCAGAUUAGCUAGUUGGUGAGGUAACGGCGCACCAAGGCGACGAUCCGUAGCUGGUCUGAGAGGAUGAUCAGCCACACUGGGACUGAGACACGGCCCAGACUCCUACGGGAGGCAGCAGUGGGGAAUAUUGGACAAUGGGCGCAAGCCUGAUCCAGCCAUGCCGCGUGAGUGAUGAAGGCCUUAGGGUUGUAAAGCUCUUUUAUCCGGGACGAUAAUGACGGUACCGGAGGAAUAAGCCCCGGCUAACUUCGUG
rnacentral:rRNA from 1 species